AUUAUUUUGUGACUGAGUGGCGGACGGGUGAGUAACGCGUGGGUAACCUGCCUUGUACAGGGGGAUAACAGUUGGAAACGGCUGCUAAUACCGCAUAAGCGCACAGCAUCGCAUGAUGCAGUGUGAAAAACUCCGGUGGUGUGAGAUGGAUCCGCGUCUGAUUAGCUGGUUGGAGGGGUAACGGCCCACCAAGGCGACGAUCAGUAGCCGGUCUGAGAGGAUGAACGGCCACACUGGAACUGAGACACGGUCCAGACUCC
rnacentral:rRNA from 1 species